ACAUGCGACCAUAGGGUGUGGAAAACAGGGCUUCCCGUCCGCUCAGCCGUACUUAAGCCACACGCCGGUGAGUUAGUAGUUGGGUGGGUGACCACCAGCGAAUCCUCACUGUUGCAUGUUCUAG
rnacentral:rRNA from 1 species